UACGGAGGGAGCUAGCGUUGUUCGGAAUUACUGGGCGUAAAGCGCACGUAGGCGGCUUUUUAAGUCAGGGGUGAAAUCCCGGGGCUCAACCCCGGAACUGCCCUUGAAACUGGAGAGCUAGAAUCUUGGAGAGGCGAGUGGAAUUCCGAGUGUAGAGGUGAAAUUCGUAGAUAUUCGCAAGAACACCAGUGGCGAAGGCGGCUCACUGGCCCGGAACUGACGCUGAGGUGCGAAAGCGUGGGGAGCAAACAGG
rnacentral:rRNA from 1 species